AACUUUCAACAACGGAUCUCUUGGCUCUCGCAUCGAUGAAGAACGCAGCGAAAUGCGAUAAGUAAUGUGAAUUGCAGAAUUCAGUGAAUCAUCGAAUCUUUGAACGCACCUUGCGCCCCUUGGUAUUCCGAAGGGCACGCCUGUUUGAGUGUCA
rnacentral:rRNA from 1 species